AUGUACCAAAAAAGAGAGUUUUCAGUGGAUAGAUGCUUGUUCCCAGUGCAGGAGGUUUUUGUACGGCCUCUUAAUGAGUUUGUAUCACUGUGGUACACUUUUGGUGGAGGAACCAAACUCACCGUUGACUUGGGUGUGGUGCGGCCCACCCUGAGCCUCCUCCCCCCCUCCAGAGAGGAGCUGCAGCAGGGCAGUGCCACACUGGUGUGUCUGGCCAGCGGGGGCUUCCCCUCAGCCUGGAGGCUGGGCUGGAAGGUGGGGGGCAGCAGCAGCUCCUCAGGGGUGUCCCACAGCCUGGAGGUCCUGGGGGGGGACGCCCACUACAGCUGGAGCAGCACCCUGAGCCUCCCUGCAGACCAGUGGAGGAAGGCGGGCUCAGUGAGCUGUGAGGCCAGUCUGAAUGGACAGAGCCCUGUCACUCAAAGCCUGGACCCUGACCACUGCUCAGAGUAGAGCUUCAGCAACACUUCCUGUCUGGAAAUGAUGCUGCUUCUUUGAUAGAGAUCUUGAUGAAGCUACACAUCUCCUCUGCUCACAUAUUUCUGCACGUUUCACAGCUCUCUACUCUGUGUUUUAGUGUGCAUGUUGCUUUCUUAUACUCAUCUUCUGCAUGUUCUUCUUUAUGUUCAUCACUUUUCAUGUUAAACUGAAUUUUAUUAGUUUCACUCCAAGAGAAAGUAUUCAUUCAUCAAAAAUGUGGAAUGAACAUUAAACCAUCAUUAAAUAAAACUGUGGAUUAUAAUGA